rnacentral:rRNA from 1 species
AACGAACGCUGGCGGCAUGCCUAACACAUGCAAGUCGAACGAUGCCUUCGGGCAUAGUGGCGCACGGGUGAGUAACGCGUGGGAACCUGCCUUGUGGUACGGAAUAACUCCGGGAAACUGGAGCUAAUACCGUAUGUGUCCCCUGGGACAAAGAUUUAUCGCCACGGGAUGGGCCCGCGUAGGAUUAGCUUGUUGGUGGGGUAACGGCCUACCAAGGCUACGAUCCUUAGCUGGUCUGAGAGGAUGAUCAGCCACACUGGGACUGAGACACGGCCCAGACUCCUACGGGAGGCAGCAGUGGGGAAUAUUGGACAAUGGGCGCAAGCCUGAUCCAGCAAUGCCGCGUGAGUGAUGAAGGCCUUCGGGUUGUAAAGCUCUUUCGCACGCGACGAUGAUGACGGUAGCGUGAGAAGAAGCCCCGGCUAACUUCGUG